rnacentral:lncRNA from 1 species
UUUAUAUUAACAAUCAUAGCGGCAAAUAGCAUAACAGAUCAAUUUGAUAUUAUUGAAUAUAUGUUAAUAAAACACGGUUUUCUAAUAGCUAAAAUUUGUAGAAAUAAAAUUUUCUUUUCCACACGGGUGUUCUCGAUCUAAUAGCUAACAUUUUUAAAGAUAUAUGUUAAUAUAAUAAAUUUUAAAUAUAAAAUUUUAAAAUUUAAAUUCAAAUAUAAGGGGAUAGUAUCAUUAUUUUUUAUUUAUAACUACCCACUAUUCUUCUUAUUCCAUCUUAUCUAUAAAAAUGUUAUUUUUCUUAUUCCUGGGAAUAAUUCAAUUUUCAUUCAAAAGCAAAAUUGGUCUAUUCUAGAUUUAACUCUGAACUUAUAUCUAUCUCUGGAAUAACUAGUUCUUACUUACCCCCGAACUAAACUAAGCCAUAUGUCAGUCAUUUUCUUG